rnacentral:rRNA from 1 species
UAGUCAUAUGCUUGUCCCAAAGAUUAAGCCAUGCAUGUCUAAGUAUAAACCCAUUCUUACGGGAGAACCUGCGAAGGGUUCAUUAUCUCAGUUAUAUUUGAUUGGAGGGUAACGUUGCUGCAUGGAUAAGUGUGUUCUUUCUAUAUCUAAGACAUGCUAGACAGCCCCCACUUCUGGAAGGGGUGUAUUUAUUACAUAAAGAACGAAUGCUCGCCCCCCCUCCCUGGAGAUUCGAAAUAACUUCUCAAAUCGCAUGGCCUUGAGCCGGCGAUGCUUCUUCCGCCUAUCUGCCCUAUCAUCUUUCGAUGGGAGGAUACAGGGCUGCCAUGGGAUCAACGGGAAACGGGGAAUUAUGCUUCAAUUCCAGACAGGGAGCCUGAUAAACCUUUACCACAUCCAAGGAAGGCCGCAAGUUCCCAAUCUACCCAGUCCCGACGCGGGGACGUAAUGAC